rnacentral:rRNA from 1 species
GGUCGAUGCAGUCGGUCCGUCCCUCACGGGAUGUGUACAUGAGUUUGUGUCGGCCAUCCUCGAGGGAAACGCAUCUGGCAUUAAGUUGUCGGGUGCGGGUUCCUCGUCAUUUACUGUGAGCAAAAUAGAGUGUUCAAAGCAGGCUUAUGCCGUUGAAUACAUUAGCAUGGAAUAAUAAGAUACGACCUUGGGUCUAUUUUGUUGGUUUGCGGUCCGAGGUA